GGCGACGAGGCCAAGUGGUAAGGCACAGCUCUGCAAAAGCUUCACUCACCGGUUCGAAUCCGGUCGUCGCCU
rnacentral:tRNA from 1 species